GAUGAAGAACGCAGCGAAAUGCGAUAAGUAAUGUGAAUUGCAGAAUUCAGUGAAUCAUCGAAUCUUUGAACGCACAUUGCGCCCGCCAGUAUUCUGGCGGGCAUGCCUGUUCGAGCGUCAUUUCAACCAUCAAGCCCCCCGGCUUGUGUUGGGGACCUGCGGCUGCCCGCAGGCCCUGAAAACCAGUGGCGGGCUCGCUGUCACUCCGAGCGUAGUAGCAUAUAUCUCGCUCAGGGCGUGCUGCGGGUUCCGGCCGUUAAAAGCCUUUUUUUACCCAAGGUUGACCUCGGAUCAGGUAGGAAGACCCGCUGAACUUAAGCAUAUCAAUAAGCGGAGGA
rnacentral:misc_RNA from 1 species